rnacentral:rRNA from 1 species
GUGUCAGCAGCCGCGGUAAUACGUAGGGUGCGAGCGUUAAUCGGAAUUACUGGGCGUAAAGCGUGCGCAGGCGGUUUUGUAAGACAGGCGUGAAAUCCCCGGGCUUAACCUGGGAACUGCGUUUGUGACUGCAAGGCUAGAGUACGGCAGAGGGGGGUGGAAUUCCACGUGUAGCAGUGAAAUGCGUAGAGAUGUGGAGGAACACCAAUGGCGAAGGCAGCCCCCUGGGUCGAUACUGACGCUCAUGCACGAAAGCGUGGGUAGCAAACAGGAUUAGAAACCCUCGUAGUCC